rnacentral:sRNA from 1 species
UGCUGAGAUCAUUUCAACCAGCUUGCCGUGCAGAGCACCGUUGGUGACGAGAACACCACCUGAAGGGUAAAUGUCUCUGCGCCCAGUUAGGUCAGCUGCAAGAUCCAACGGUUUCCCACUCCAGUCACUAAUCUGUCAGUUGAACAAAUCACAAAAUCACCAUGGUUAAUAAUGUUAACAUUGGUGAACUGAUGGAACAAAUGUGCAUUUCGUCGAGUCCUGGCUUAACAAGUGUGCUGUAUACCUGACCUCCAGCUUCCUGUACACAAAUUACUCCGACAGCAUGAUCCCAAGACUGCAAACAGUGGGAAAGGAAAGGAUUACUGCAGCUACAAACUAAGUCAACAGUUUGUUCAGCUUGGACGGAAACUCCCAGAUUCAAGUGAUCACCUUGAGAUUUUUCGUCCGUGCUCGAAGUACAAAAACGGAGGCUCUCCCAGAAGCUACAGUUAGGUACUUGCACAAGCUAUGGAAGAUCAACAAGAAGAGCGCAUCACGAUCACUCAUGCACCGACCAAUCCAUAAUCA